CUGUUUCUGCAUGUAAACAAACACAAAAAUGCUAGAUCGAUGUGUAGUUUUUGGUUGUUCUAACGUAGCCAGUUCGGAGAAAGGCAUUUCACUUCAUCGCAUACCAUUUUUUAACGACGAAAGAAGCGAAGCUAAGCGUAGGAGAAAGCGUUGGGUCAACUUUGCGAAAGCUACUCGCGAUAAGUGGGUCCCCACAAAGAAUUCCGCAGUUUGCUCGGAACACAAGAUUCGUUUUCUCGGCAAUUCGGCUCGCUUUCUUGAUCAGAAAGUAAUUUUGCACUUUGAAUCAUACGAGACGAAUUCGGAAUCGUUGCUUACCCGAGCAUUUAUCCUCGAAAAGAUGACAAUGAACUUACAACAAGAGAUCGCGGAAUGAUGUCUGAUUAUAAAAGAGAGGUUGAAUCAGAAAAUAUUCCCAGUACAAGUAGCGAACCUCAAGAGCAAAUAGAAGAAACAACUUGUGAUGAGCCUGUAUUAUCUGAAUGAUCAGCUACUCUUUUCCUGGAAUGUUCUGCAGGCAUAUCCUUGUUGUAACUCACUUCGAAAGCAAUUUGGACAGGGAUAAUCAAGAGGUUAAUGGAGUUCCCCAGGUUAAAGUGCAUUAUCCAAAAUUUAUAAAUGGUGAAGCUGUUGUAAGAAAUGUAAAAGUUGCUCAGGAUUUUGGUAAGGUUAUUUAAUAUAUUUCUCCUACUGCCUGAUUUCAUGUGUUAAAUGCCAUAAC